GUGCCAGCAGCCGCGGUAAUACAGAGGGUGCGAGCGUUAAUCGGAAUUACUGGGCGUAAAGCGCACGUAGGCGGCUUUGUAAGUCGGAUGUGAAAUCCCCGGGCUCAACCUGGGAACUGCACCCGAAACUACAUUGCUAGAGUAUGGGAGAGGGAGGCGGAAUUUCCGGUGUAGCAGUGAAAUGCGUAGAUAUCGGAAGGAACAUCAGUGGCGAAGGCGGCCUCCUGGACCAAUACUGACGCUCAGGUGCGAAAGCGUGGGGAGCAAACAGGAUUAGAUACCCUGGUAGUCC
rnacentral:rRNA from 1 species